AUUAACUGACAGCACAUCGACAGCACACAGAUCUCCAGUCUCUGGGUGGAUUCUUUCAAGAGUUCACUCACUCUCAACCUCUGGGAUUAGAAGCACCAGAAAUUGCAGAUUCCAAGGAGGAAAGCUCCAACCUCAGUCUGAUGUGUCAGAAAAGUAAUCAUUGAUAGAUUUGGAAAGACCUUGUUUUGGGUGUCUCAAGUUCAAGCCACUUCUAUUAGGUUAAGAAGGUUAGUUUCUUAUUGUCUUACAGAA
rnacentral:lncRNA from 1 species